UUUACAGUAAUAUAUAUUUGAUAAUGUAUGUAGAAAUUAUUAUUUUAUUGAUAAAAAGAAAAAAAAAGCUCUUUGGUGGCCCCUUGGGGGCAGCGGUAGGUAUUACAUGCUUCGCCGGUAACUGCAAUGAGCAGAGCAGCCAAACGUCCAAAGCUCCCGUCAGAAGUUAAGUUUGCUAAACAAUGUCUCAAAAUAUGACAUCCUUCAGGGAGAGAGAAAAGAAAAAGGAAGAACAGAAAAAAGCCAAGAUAAAGGGUGAAACAGCACCCCCUCCUGGUGGUUGGCAGAGUUAAAUAUAGUGAACACUGACGACUCGUUGCCAGUUCAUGAGAGAUGGGCGCGAGGUUCCCUUGACAGUGACUCUGGUGUGGUACCAGUCAUUAAUGAAAAGGUCCGUUCCAGCCCUGCAACAUGUGUUGUGUUUAUCCCUGUGGGUGCAGUAGUCACUCAUCUUUGAAAAUGAUGGGAUUCAUACUGAAACCUGGGGAGUUCAGAGAGACGGAUGGAUCAGAGGAAGGCUGCUGAUCAUCUGAUCAUCAGGUUCUGGGACAGAGGGGUCAUGGACGCUACGCUCCAGUUCCAUCUGGCCUUUUCCUGCACCUUCGUCAUGCAACUUCACACCUGGUCAAAGGGCAGCUGUUAGACUCAGAUCACACCAGACAGACAGCUUCAGUCAUUGGUCACUUGUUUGCAGUAUCUCUUGUAGAUCUGCAUAAAAUAACCUUAGAGAAAUGCAGCCAUUGCACACUGGAAUAUUUCUGCCCUGUAUACAUUAUUUAAUACCUUUGAUGUUUAUUAUACAAACAAGUUGAACAGAGAGGAAUACAAAGGCAACUUGCUGCCUAAUGUGUAACUCAUCUUGUGCUUGAAAUUAUUGCAGCUCUGCUCUUUGUUUUGCUCUGCAUGUGAAGACAUAAAGGUUGUGGCUGUGUGGAGACAAAAGAACCAAAAGGAAGGAUUGAGUUAAAUGUAUCAUUUCUAAGCUCAUCUGAGCAGGAAAAGCGAAAUGUGAACCAGGUUAUAUGUGUAAAGGAUUGAGGUGGUAAUUUACUAACAUAUGAACAGUUCUGAAAUGUUUAUAUGAGGAGGUGAUGAUUGAAGAAAGUGAAAGAGAGAACACCAUGUGAAAGUUAGCCAAUCAGAGGAACAAUAAAUAAGUACAAGGCCACAGUGACACUAAAAUGGAUUCAGUAGGACAGGAAGUUGGUUCAGUUGACACCUGUUGAAAUAUUUUAGAGUAUGCAGCAGAGAAGAUUGUGUACUUUUUAAAGUCGACUGUUAAAUUCAUUAGGAAUGGUUGAGUUCAUCAGCUGUUAGGUUGAUGUGUAGUAAUAACUACAGAGUGACGAAGCUGUUGAGUCAAAGCGAUGCCAUGCUGUUGUGUGAGAACAAGAAGCUGGAGAAACUUUUGUGCAUAGUUACAUAUUGAUUUUUUUUUUAUUGACUAAAUUUGCUAUCAAAAUAAUGAAUAGUAGUUUUUCCCUAAUAGUUUUCAGUGCUCCUUCUAAAAAGUCCCAGUUUACACUGCAGGCCUUUCUGUCCCGUCGUCUUAUCAUUGUCAGUCUAACAUUACUUUUUAAAAUAAACUGCUAAAUAUGUUUUAAUUAAACCUUAAGUUUGAUCAGACCAAAAUUUUUAUUUUUUUUAAGUAAAAUCAGAACUCAUGGCUUAUUCAAAAUUAACUUUUACGGCAGAUAGUGGUCAGGGCCAAAAAGGAGAACAAUCAAACAUUUUCACCACUGCCUUUACACAUGGCAGAUGCUCAAAUAAACUGGAAGUCAGUAUUCACUUAAUUAUUCAACUUAAAAUUUUAUUUCAAAAGCAAAACAAUUAUUUUCUUAUUGUGUAGAUUUUUUUUCUCAUACAAACAUUAAGUCAGGAGUCUGUAGGUUUCUCUCUUCUCAGUUCUUAAAGUUUUCCACUAGAUGGCGCCACACAGCUGCAGCCUCCUGGAGCCAGACCACAGCAGGCGAAGCUGCACAGCUGCUGAUCAACCUGUUUGAUUCAGUGAUGCAGGAAGAUUGAUUAAAGAAGUCUCAUAUAAAAUAUUUCAUAAAGUAUAUCCUACAAGGUAUUAAUUCUAUAUUCAAUAAAGAGUUGAAUGUAAAUUGUAUGUUUUGUGAUAUAUAGCCUCAAACUGUUCUCCCCUUGUUUUGGUACUGUCCUUAAUGCCUUUUGGGAGAAUUUAUGUGACUUUAUCCACAGCAACAUAGAAGCACAAUUUAAGCUUUUAUGGAAGAUGUCUUACUUGGUAAAAACAUGAUUAACAAUUGUGAGAUUCUCAUAAAUCCUUUAUUGUUACUAGCUAAAUGUCCUAUUCAUCGUUCCAGGUACUCUGAAAAGAAGUCAUGUUUUGCUGCAUUUUACAAUGAAGUAAAGUUUUAUAUCUGGACUAUCAAAGACUCUGAGAAAAUAUAGCAUAAAACAAGUAAAAUCUGUACUGCUUUGAAUGAACUGUUAGGAACCUAAGCCUCUCAGCUUUUUCUUUUUCUUGAAUGCUAAAUAUCUAUUUACCUAUAUUGUUUUUUCUUGAGUGUGAGGGACGAGACUCAAACGAGGACAAAACAUUUUCAAAGUAGAAAAAAGUUUCAAUUUAAGUCUUCAAAAAAAAAUCAUGAACAAAGCAUAAAGAUUUAGAGCAAGGAUAAAUCAAAGGAUAAGUAACAAAUUUGGAUCCAAAUUAACUGAGGUCAACUGAACUCUAACUGAACACAAAGAACAAAAAGCUGCUUAAAUAGGGGUGGAGUGACCUGAAUCUACCACAUGAGGAAGGCACGACAUAGCAAAAGAACAAAUGAAUACACAAUUAACUAAAGCAUCCUAUGAAACAAAUAAAGCAAACUAACUUUAACUUAGAACAAACAAUAAGUGAAUAUUUAAGUGACAAAAUUAAAUAAAAUCAGCUUGAAGUCUCCCCCCCUUCAGUCUUUCAGAAAAUGGUUUGAUCCAGGUUCCUCCUCCAGCUGGUUUAUAUCAGCAGCACCUCAAACAAAAAACGUGUAAGUAAACCAUUCAGACAGACAUUAACUAAAGUGCACCCAUUAGAAAAUAUAUGUCUAAAUGAAAUAAACUUAAACAGACUAUAAGCUAUACUAAUAAAGAAAAAAAAUACUAACAUGAUGUGGUGGCAGGAGCAUCCACCACAUUGAGGCAUAACAAAUGUUUCACUCCGUUAUACCGUAAUUGGAAU